UACGUAGGGUCCGAGCGUUGUCCGGAAUUAUUGGGCGUAAAGGGCUCGUAGGCGGUUUGUCGCGUCGGGAGUGAAAACACGGGGCUUAACCCCGUGCCUGCUUCCGAUACGGGCAGACUAGAGGUAUGCAGGGGAGAACGGAAUUCCUGGUGUAGCGGUGAAAUGCGCAGAUAUCAGGAGGAACACCGGUGGCGAAGGCGGAUCUCUGGGCCUGUUCUGACGCUGAGGCGCGAAAGCUAGGGGAGCGAACAGG
rnacentral:rRNA from 1 species